rnacentral:rRNA from 1 species
UCGAUUUAGCCAUGCUAGUCGCACGAGUUCAGACUCGUGGCGAAUAGCUCAGUAACACGUGGCCAAACUACCCUUCGGAACACAAUACCCUCGGGAAACUGAGGCUAAUAGUGUAUACCAUACCACCACUGGAAUGAGUGGUAUGCCAAACGCUCCGGCGCCGAAGGAUGUGGCUGCGGCCGAUUAGGUAGACGGUGGGGUAACGGCCCACCGUGCCAAUAAUCGGUACGGGUCAUGAGAGUGAGAACCCGGAGACGGAAUCUGAGACAAGAUUCCGGGCCCUACGGGGCGCAGCAGGCGCGAAACCUUUACACUGCACGACAGUGCGAUAGGGGGAUCCCAAGUGCACAGGCAUAGCGCCUGUGCUUUUCGGUACCGUAAGGUGGUACCAGAAUAAGGGCUGGGCAAGACCGGUGCCAGCCGCCGCGGUAAUACCGGCAGCCCAAGUGAUGGCCGAUCUUAUUGGGCCUAAAGCGUCCGUAGCUGGCCGCGCAAGUCCAUCGGGAAAUCCACCUGCUCAACAGGUGGGCGCCCGGUAGAAACUGCGUGGCUUGGGACCGGAAGGCGCGACGGGUACGUCCGGGGUAGGAGUGAAAUCCCGUAAUCCUGGACGGACCGCCGAUGGCGAAAGCACGUCGCGAGAACGGAUCCGACAGUGAGGGACGAAAGCCAGGGUCUCGAACCGGAUUAGAUACCCGGGUAGUCCUGGCCGUAAACAAUGCCUGCUAGGUGUGGCUCCCACUACGAGUGGGUGCUGUGCCGUAGGGAAGCCGCUAAGCAGGCCGCCUGGGAAGUACGUCCGCAAGGAUGAAACUUAAAGGAAUUGGCGGGGGAGCACUACAACCGGAGGAGCCUGCGGUUUAAUUGGACUCAACGCCGGACAUCUCACCAGCAUCGACUGUAAUAAUGACGACCAGGUUGAUGACCUUGUCCGAGUUUCAGAGAGGAGGUGCAUGGUCGGCGUCAGCUCGUACCGUGAGGCGUCCUGUUAAGUCAAGCA